rnacentral:tRNA from 1 species
ACUUACUUAGUAUAUUAAGUAUAAUUGCCUUCCAAGCAGUAGGAUUAAGACCGCCUUAAAGUAAGUA